CCUACGGGGCGCAGCAGUCGAGAAUCAUUCACAAUGGGGGAAACCCUGAUGGUGCGACGCCGCGUGGGGGAAUGAAGGUCUUCGGAUUGUAAACCCCUGUCAUGUGGGAGCAAAUUAAAAAGAUAGUACCACAAGAGGAAGAGACGGCUAACUCUGUGCCAGCAGCCGCGGUAAUACAGAGGUCUCAAGCGUUGUUCGGAAUCACUGGGCGUAAAGCGUGCGUAGGCUGUUUCGUAAGUCGUGUGUGAAAGGCGCGGGCUCAACCCGCGGACGGCACAUGAUACUGCGAGACUAGUGUAAAGGAGGGGGAACCGGAAUUCUCGGUGUAGCAGUGAAAUGCGUAGAUAUCGAGAGGAACACUCGUGGCGAAGGCGGGUUCCUGGACAUUAACUGACGCUGAGGCACGAAGGCCAGGGGAGCGAAAGGGAUUAGAUACCCCUGUAGUC
rnacentral:rRNA from 1 species